GCCUUAUCAACAUACCCAGCUCUCUCGUUAGUUGCUGUCACGCGGCACAAGAGAGCAAUCAUGUCUAUACACUCUUGUGCGUGCGACAGCGACUGAUACAGGGCUCCCUUUCAUCUGUGUUUACC
rnacentral:precursor_RNA from 15 species